rnacentral:rRNA from 1 species
UACGGAGGGGGCGAGCGUUAUUCGGAAUUAUUGGGCGUAAAGGGCGCGUAGGCGGCUUCGUAAGUCAAAGGUGAAAUCCCUCGGCUCAACUGAGGAACUGCCUUUGAAACUGUGAGGCUUGAGGCCGGGAGGGGGUAGCGGAAUUCCCAGUGUAGCGGUGAAAUGCGUAGAUAUCAGGAGGAACACCGGCGGCGAAGGCGGCUACCUGGUCCACAACUGACGUUCAGGUACGAAAGCGUGGGGAGCAAACAGG